UGGGGAAUAUUGGACAAUGGGCGAAAGCCUGAUCCAGCCAUGCCGCGUGUGUGAAGAAGGUCUUCGGAUUGUAAAGCACUUUAAGUUGGGAGGAAGGGCAUUAACCUAAUACGUUAGUGUUUUGACGUUACCGACAGAAUAAGCACCGGCUAACUCUGUGCCAGCAGCCGCGGUAAUACAGAGGGGGCAAGCGUUAAUCGGAAUUACUGGGCGUAAAGCGCGCGUAGGUGGUCUGUUAAGUUGGAUGUGAAAUCCCCGGGCUCAACCUGGGAACUGCAUUCAAAACUGACUGACUAGAGUAUGGUAGAGGGUGGUGGAAUUUCCUGUGUAGCGGUGAAAUGCGUAGAUAUAGGAAGGAACACCAGUGGCGAAGGCGACCACCUGGACUAAUACUGACACUGAGGUGCGAAAGCGUGGGGAGCAAACA
rnacentral:rRNA from 1 species